AACAAAAAAAAUGUCGUUCCGUCGCUCACUGAACGGGGACAAUGAAUUGAUGUUAACGCAGUCUUUUAUUUCACGUUAGUUCGCAUUUAUCCUCCUAAAGUGUGUGUUCCUGUACAGUCACAGCUCAGAGGACAAGUUGGAGGUCUCACACAGACUGAAGUCUAAAGCGCGUGUACCUGACUAUCUCCUCCGGGAAGCAGCUGUUGAUGGAAUUGAUGUGUUCCUGAAGGACGGAGCCCGGCUCCGCCUGGAUCUCUUGAACUUUCUUUAACCCUCCGCUGGUCACAAAUUGACGGCGAGCCUGACUGUCAUGAGGUAAUACCUCGGGGCCCACCUUGCUGAAUUGGCAGACGACGUGUUUGAUGAUGUUGCUCGGCGCGUCGUAGAGGAGGGACUCCAGCGCAGGUCCUCCGAGCUGUUGGCGUCCAUGUAGAGUUGCAGCAGUUUGGGCAGCAGGUUGGCAGUGGCGACAGCCUUGGCGUGCACUGGG